rnacentral:rRNA from 1 species
ACGGAAGGCAGCAGUGAGGAAUAUUGGUCAAUGGAGGCAACUCUGAACCAGCCAAGUCGCGUGAAGGAAGAAGGCCCUACGGGUCGUAAACUUCUUUUGCAGGGGGAUAAAGUCGGCCACGCGUGGCCGUUUGCAGGUACCCUGUGAAUAAGCAUCGGCUAACUCCGUGCCAGCAGCCGCGGUAAUACGGAGGAUGCGAGCGUUAUCCGGAUUUAUUGGGUUUAAAGGGUGCGCAGGCGGGCUGUUAAGUCAGCGGUGAAAUCUCCGGGCUCAACUCGGAAACUGCCGUUGAUACUGGCGGUCUUGAUUCAUGUCGAGGAUGGCGGAAUGCAGCGUGUAGCGGUGAAAUGCUUAGAUAUGUCACAGAACACCGAUUGCGAAGGCAGCUGACUAAUCCGCAACUGACGCUCAGGCACGAAAGCGUGGGGAUCGAACAGGAUUAGAUACCCUGGUA